rnacentral:tRNA from 1 species
CAGAGAAUAGUUUAAAUAAAAUUUUAAUUUUGGAGAUUAGCGAUAGAGUAUUACUUUUUCUCUGA